AGCGAACGCUGACGGCAGGCUUAACACAUGCAAGUCGAGCGGGCAUAGCAAUAUGUCAGCGGCAGACGGGUGAGUAACGCGUGGGAACGUACCUUUUGGUUCGGAACAACACAGGGAAACUUGUGCUAAUACCGGAUAAGCCCUUACGGGGAAAGAUUUAUCGCCGAAAGAUCGGCCCGCGUCUGAUUAGCUAGUUGGUGAGGUAAUGGCUCACCAAGGCGACGAUCAGUAGCUGGUCUGAGAGGAUGAUCAGCCACAUUGGGACUGAGACACGGCCCAAACUCCUACGGGAGGCAGCAGUGGGGAAUAUCGGACAAUGGGCGCAAGCCUGAUCCAGCCAUGCCGCGUGAGUGAUGAAGGCCCUAGGGUUGUAAAGCUCUUUUGUGCGGGAAGAUAAUGACGGUACCGCAAGAAUAAGCCCCGGCUAACUUCGUGCCAGCCGCCGCCGUAA
rnacentral:rRNA from 1 species